GAAGUUCGCCAUUACCUUCUGCCGGAGCCGCCUGCGGGUGCAGAUUUCGGUGGUAGUAGCAAAUAUUCAAACGAGACCUUCGAAGACCGAAGUGGAGAAGGGUU